GCAUUGGUGGUUCAGUGGCAGAAUUCUUGCCUUCCAUGCGGGAGACCCAGGUUCAAUCCCUGACCAAUGCC
rnacentral:tRNA from 1 species